rnacentral:rRNA from 1 species
GAGUUUGAUCGUGGCUCAGGAUGAACGCUAGCGGCAGGCCUAAUACAUGCAAGACGAACGGUAAGUUGUGUAGCAAUACAUGACCUAGAGUGUCGUAAGGGUGCGUAACACGUAUGCAAUCUGCCCGGAACUGGAGGAUAGCUCGCCGAAAGGCGAAUUAACACUCCAUAGGAUGGUAGGGAGGCAUCUCCUAGUCAUUAAAACUACGGUGGUUUCGGAUGAGCAUGCGGAUGAUUAGCUAGUUGGUGAGGUAACGGCUCACCAAGGCGAUGAUCAAUAGGGGAAUUGAGAGGUUGAUCCCCCACACUGGCACUGAGAUACGGGCCAGACUCCUACGGGAGGCAGCAGUAGGGAAUAUUGGACAAUGGGUGCGAGCCUGAUCCAGCCAUGCCGCGUGCAGGAAGACGGCCUUCUGGGUUGUAAACUGCUUUUGCCAGGGGAUAAAAAGUCCCUGCGGGGAAAAUUGAAGGUACCUGGUGAAUAAGCCACGGCUAACUACGUGCCAGC